ensembl:lncRNA
GUAUCUAAGGUUAAGGGGCUUGAUACUGUAUCUAAGGGGCUUUAUACUGUAUCUAAGGUUAAGGGGCUUUAUACUGUAUCUAAGGGGCUUUAUACUGUAUCUAAGGUUAAGGGGCUUUAUACUGUAUCUAAGGGGCUUAAUACUGUAUCUAAGGGGCUUUAUACUGUAUCUAAGGUUAAGGGGCUUUAUACUGUAUCUAAGGGGCUUCAUACUGUAUCUAAGGUUAAGGGGCUUUAUACUGUAUCUAUGGGGCUUCAUACUGUAUCUAAGGUUAAGGGCUUUAUACUGUAUCUAAGGUUAAGGGUCUUUAUACUGUAUCUAAGGGGCUUUAUACUGUAUCUAAGGGGCUUCAUACUGUAUCUAAGGUUAAGGGGCUUCAUACUGUAUCUAAGGUUAAGGGCUUUAUACUGUAUCUAAGGGGCUUUAUACUGUAUCUAAGGUUAAGGGGCUUUAUACUGUAUCUAAGGGGCUUCAUACUGUAUCUAAGGUUAAGGGGCUUUAU